rnacentral:rRNA from 1 species
UACGGAGGGUGCAAGCGUUGUCCGGAUUUAUUGGGUUUAAAGGGUGCGUAGGCGGCCCGGUAAGUCAGUGGUGAAAGCCUCCAGCUCAACUGGAGAACUGCCAUUGAUACUGCCGGGCUUGAGUACAGACGAGGUUGGCGGAAUUGAUUGUGUAGCGGUGAAAUGCAUAGAUACAAGCAAGAACUCCGAUUGCGUAGGCAGCUAACUAGGCUGUAACUGACGCUGAGGCACGAAAGCGUGGGGAGCGAACAGG